GGGACAGGGAGGAAACAACACCAUGCCUCUUUUACCAGCAGAGAAUUGAGUGUGUUAAAGAUGACUUCAGGGAACGUGAUGAGACCCAGAUGGAAAAAGGCAAAACUCUCCUUAAUGACAGCUGAUGUUUUCCUGGAUGGAGCCAAAUCGGAGCAGACAGCAAAGAUCCUUAUCUUAGCACGGGAGGCCUGACAGCAGAAUAUUUCUCUUGAUUUCAGGAUUGUUUUGUUAUGGAGUCCAAAACCACACUCCAAAAAUAACUCAGAUUCAUGUGUUUGCUGAUGCCUGUGUGCUCCUCCAUCCUCCUUGCACAGGUAAGUCCCAAAUGCAUUUUUAAUUUAAAACUGUCUCAUAUAACAAUGAG
rnacentral:lncRNA from 12 species